UAAAAACCGAUGAUAAGGAUUAGUAAAUAGUUUUAAUGCUUAAAGAGAGCCUGUGGCUGGUGUAAACAGGCAGCAUAAUCUAUUGAAUCCACCUUUGAGGGUUUGUGAUGAACAAAACGCAGGUGCCCGUUAAGCACAUUAGAGUGGACUUUAUGGUCAAUUAGGGUGGCAACACGGAAGUUAGCCUUUCGCCCCUUUG
rnacentral:ncRNA from 1 species